rfam:Brassica oleracea var. oleracea cultivar TO1000 chromosome C7, whole genome shotgun sequence
GGCCUAUUAGCUCAGUUGGUUAGAUCGUCAUGCUAAUAACGCGAAGGUCCCAGGUUCAAAACCUGCAUAGGCCA